rnacentral:rRNA from 1 species
CCAGACUCCUACGGGAGGCAGCAGUGAGGAAUAUUGGUCAAUGGUCGGAAGACUGAACCAGCCAUGCCGCGUGCAGGAAGAAUGCCUUAUGGGUUGUAAACUGCUUUUAUAUGGGAAGAAUAAGGAGUACGUGUACUUUGAUGACGGUACCAUAUGAAUAAGCAUCGGCUAACUCCGUGCCAGCAGCCGCGGUAAUACGGAGGAUGCGAGCGUUAUUCGGAAUCAUUGGGUUUAAAGGGUCUGUAGGCGGGCUAUUAAGUCAGGGGUGAAAGGUUUCAGCUUAACUGAGAAAUUGCCUUUGAUACUGGUAGUCUUGAAUAUCUGUGAAGUUCUUGGAAUGUGUAGUGUAGCGGUGAAAUGCUUAGAUAUUACACAGAACACCGAUUGCGGAGGCAGGGGACUAACAGACGAUUGACGCUGAGAGACGAAAGCGUGGGGAGCGAACAGGAUUAGAUACCCUGGUAGUCCACGCUGUAAACGAUGGAUACUAGCUGUUUGGAGUAAUUUGAGUGGCUAAGCGAAAGUGAUAAGUAUCCCACCUGGGGAGUACGCACGCAAGUGUGAAACUCAAAGGAAUUGACGGGGGCCCGCACAAG